ensembl:lncRNA
AUGACAACCCCUGAACAAUCCUGUCAACAAAUAUGUCUUUUUCCUUCUCAAAGACAGACAACCUUCAUCCCAGAUUCCCCUAGCAGCAUAUGGAUCUCUCUUCUUUUGGUUUAUCAAGGACGAUUGGAUAAACUGGCUUGUUUGGACUGGGGUUCUUAUCUCCAUGGAGGCCUCAAUAAUAAUACUUAUGAAAAUAGAUGUAGACUUUUUUGUCCUUUUUAUGCUGCUGUAGUUUUCAGUGAAUAUCAGCAAUAUAAACAAUAUUACCUUUUAUUUGCCUGUUCUAAGGAUCAUUUUAGGCUUGUAUCAGUGGUGGUUCCUUCCACAAUGAUUCAGGUGGAGUCAGCUGUGAUGAAGCUGGCCUGGUGUCACUAGAAUCCUUGCUUGGACAGAUCUUGUGGUGAGUGAUUAAGGACUGACUGAUCUUUCUUUUAGGGCUUAGGCCUAAGUUGGUCAGGGCUGCUGCCCUGGGCCAGUCUAUCCUUUUCUCUAUUCUUUUUUUUUCUCUCUUUCUCUCCUUUUCUUUAAUUCCACAUUUUUAUUAAUUAAAAUAUCUAUAAAACCCAGUUGACUUGGGUAUAUUUCAUAAUUGGGAAUCUUUCCCUGGCGACCACCUUAUAUUUGAUUUAAAACAAGACACUGUCUUGAAAACAUAUCUUCCACAGCCACAAUUUAAGACAUCCACUCUUUUAUCUACUACAAUUUAAGUCUUCCACUAUUUUAAUUAUUACACUCCCUCUCUUCAUCCUUUCUAUUUCCCUCUACCCUCCUUAUUGCUUCUUAUUGCUCAUUUUUCUUCUUCCUUCUUUCUGUCUAGAGUUAGAACUAGCACACCAAGUUAUACCAGGACAACUAUAAGGAGAGUGCCCCUCAUUUCCUUCAUCCUCUCCCUGGGUUGGAGGGAACAGUGCUGCUUCCCAUUUCCUGUCCUUUGUCCUUUUUAGUACAAGCUGGUCCACAACCUCACCAUCCCUCCAAACCAUAAUACUUCAUGAUAGUCAGACUCCUCUCCUAGGAAAGUUUCCCAAAGUGAACAGAAGGCUGCACUUUUCUCCCCUUUACUUCAAGCAAACUACUAACCUCAGGAUUCAUGCCCAAAGACAGCCCAUUACUACUUCUUUGCACCCAUGUUUUCUCAUACAAGGGACAUUCUAGAAUGUCAGGAUUCAUGCUAUUGUCUUCAAUCUACCUCAGCAAUAGAGCCUGGAGUGGCUGUGCCCUAAAGCCCACCUUCAAGCAACAUAUGCCUUAUGUCCCCACCCCUUCCACCCCCAGUGACUUAGCCUCAGUUGCUAGAACUCUUUGUUGGGAUUCUAUUUCCUCUCUGCUGCUCCUUUCAGCCUUCCCAGAAAAUAUUCCUCCAGUGGCCUUGUCAGAACCAAGAUGUCUGGACAGAUCUUGGGAUGUAUCCUAAGUAAAUUAGUUCUCAUGUUUUUCCACAGGGAGAGUCUGUUUUUCCUUUAACCAUGGGUACAAUGAGACCAGCAUUGACAUGGAGCACCAAAUAUCCCUGGAGCCUGUUCUGAUGGAACCCUUCCUGCCUGAUCUAUUAGGAUCUACUGAGUCACAGACUUUAUUCUUUUUCACCUUUACUUAAUACUUGCAAUGAAGAGAGAGUGAGCACAAAGGAACUAGGUCUUUCAUUUAAUACCUGAGACUACAGAAUUAACAGAAGGUUCUUCAGGCUAUUACCCUUCUCUUUGUAAAUGAAUAUUACCCUUCUCUUUGUAAAUGAAUAAAAGUGUUGCUGUAUAAGUUCA